CUUUUUUUAUUGCUCGUGCAAGUUUAGGUUUCUGCUUUUUGCCACCGAGACACCAACAGUUUGAGAAAAUGAUGUUCAUUGUGUCAUGGCCGAAAAUGGCCCCAGUGUCUGCAGGGCUUCCAGAAAUACUAACUCGGAGCAACGGAACUUCAUAAGAACUGGGACCCAUCCAUUGAGAAGAAGCAAAGAUAAGAAAACUGAGGCCUGAGAAGAGCUGUGAAGGGGAAGAAUCAGGACUGGACUACUGGAAUCCUGCACUCCGGCCUCCUCAUCGGGGCUCUCUCUGUCCCUCUACUCAGAGAGGAGGCAUCACCCCACUACAGGGUCAGCUGAGGAUCUGUUCCAGGGU